AUAUUGGUCAAUGGCUGGAAGGCUGAACCAGCCAUGCCGCGUGAAGGUCAGUGCCCUAUGGGCGUUAAACUUCUUUUGUGCGGGAGCAAUAAGGUCCACGUGUGGGCCGACGAGAGUACCGUACGAAUAAGCAUCGGCUAACUCCGUGCCAGCAGCCGCGGUAAUGCGGGGGAUGCAAGCGUUAUCCGGAUUUAUUGGGUUUAAAGGGUGCGUAGGCUGUGAGGUAAGUCAGCGGUGAAAUGCCCCCGCUCAACGGGGUGAAGUGCCAUUGAUACUGCCUUGCUGGAAUGCGGAUGCCGUGGGAGGAAUGUGUGGUGUAGCGGUGAAAUGCAUAGAUAUCACGCAGAACUCCGAUUGCGAAGGCAGCAUACCGGCGCCCUACUGACGCUGAGGCACGAAAGCGUGGGUAUCGAACAG
rnacentral:rRNA from 1 species